UAUCCUGUGAGGUCAUGUUGUCC
rnacentral:piRNA from 1 species